rnacentral:rRNA from 1 species
AAUAGAUACCCGGUAGUCCACGCCGUAAACGAUGAGUGCUAAGUGUUAGGGGGUUUCCGCCCCUUAGUGCUGCAGCUAACGCAUUAAGCACUCCGCCUGGGGAGUACGGUCGCAAGACUGAAACUCAAAGGAAUUGACGGGGGCCCGCACAAGCGGUGGAGCAUGUGGUUUAAUUCGAAGCAACGCGAAGAACCUUACCAGGUCUUGACAUCCCACUGACCGCUAUGGAGACAUAGUUUUCCCUUCGGGGACAGUGGUGACAGGUGGUGCAUGGUUGUCGUCAGCUCGUGUCGUGAGAUGUUGGGUUAAGUCCCGCAACGAGCGCAACCCUUGAUCUUAGUUGCCAUCAUUUAGUUGGGCACUCUAAGGUGACUGCCGGUGACAAACCGGAGGAAGGUGGGGAUGACGUCAAAUCAUCAUGCCCCUUAUGACCUGGGCUACACACGUGCUACAAUGGACGGUACAAACGGUUGCCAACCCGCGAGGGGAGCUAAUCCGAUAAAACCGUUCUCAGUUCGGAUUGUAGGCUGCAACUCGCCUAC